UGCUACCAUCUGUGGUUGUAAAGGUC
rnacentral:piRNA from 1 species